UUUAGCAUGUCAGGCCAGUUGUACCAUACAAAUUCAAAGCACUUGAAAUGGACAGUGCUUCCCUCAGAUCCUUCCAUGGUCAGAAUCAAGACUGUUGGCAACUCCAACUACGACUCAAGUUCAGUUAUCGCUUCCUCCAGAGCGGAAGGCAAACCAGUCCUAUGGAUCCACCACGUGAACACCUUUAGUGAAGAAUACAUGCUACAACCAUCUCUACUGAAACCCCUUCAAUAAGCUGAGUACCUGCAGUUCUGUUUGGAAGAAGAACUUCUGUGGGCACUGUGUGCAGUCGUAGAUCUUGUCUUCUUGUCCAUGGGCCGAAAAAAUAUGUUGCUGCAACUUGUUGGCUUGAACAAACACUGAAACAUUAAAAAGAAAAAGUGAACUUUGUGUUACAUCGUUUUAUACAUGGAAAGACUUUUUUGUGAACAUUUCCUCAUUAACUCACAGCAAUUGCAAAGGGUACAAUUAUCCAAGAACCCUGUAAUUUCUGAUUAUACUGUUGCUAUAAUAGGCACCAGCCACGAUUGCUCAGCUCUACAUCCAAGUCCUAAUUUUCCUUUCUUUGUAAAAGAACUGUGCUUAUAUGUCUGGUAAAAACAUAAUCAAAUACCGUUACAUCUCAAACACUCAGAAAUGUACCUUUCCCCUCGCCACAAUAAUUUCAGAUUGCACCACAAUGUGCUAAACAUCAAAAGCAACAUUUGAAAAUAAACAAAUCCUUGCAACUGUGAAAUAUGGAAGC